rnacentral:rRNA from 1 species
GAUGAACGCUGGCGGCGUGCCUAAUACAUGCAAGUCGAGCGAACGGACGAGAAGCUUGCUUCUCUGAUGUUAGCGGCGGACGGGUGAGUAACACGUGGAUAACCUACCUAUAAGACUGGGAUAACUUCGGGAAACCGGAGCUAAUACCGGAUAAUAUUUUGAACCGCAUGGUUCAAAGGUGAAAGACGGUCUUGCUGUCACUUAUAGAUGGAUCCGCGCUGCAUUAGCUAGUUGGUAAGGUAACGGCUUACCAAGGCAACGAUGCAUAGCCGACCUGAGAGGGUGAUCGGCCACACGGGAACUGAGACACGGUCCAGACUCCUACGGGAGGCAGCAGUAGGGAAUCUUCCGCAAUGGGCGAAAGCCUGACGGAGCAACGCCGCGUGAGUGAUGAAGGUCUUCGGAUCGUAAAACUCUGUUAUUAGGGAAGAACAUAUGUGUAAGUAACUGUGCACAUCUUGACGGUACCUAAUCAGAAAGCCACGGCUAACUACGUG